rnacentral:rRNA from 1 species
UACGAAAGGGGCUAGCGUUGCUCGGAAUCACUGGGCGUAAAGCGCACGUAGGCGGAUUGCUAAGUCAGGGGUGAAAUCCUGGAGCUCAACUCCAGAACUGCCCUUGAUACUGGCGGUCUCGAGUCCGGGAGAGGUGAGUGGAACUGCGAGUGUAGAGGUGAAAUUCGUAGAUAUUCGCAAGAACACCAGUGGCGAAGGCGGCUCACUGGCCCGGUACUGACGCUGAGGUGCGAAAGCGUGGGGAGCAAACAGG